rnacentral:rRNA from 1 species
UACGUAGGGUGCAAGCGUUGUCCGGAAUUAUUGGGCGUAAAGAGCUCGUAGGCGGUUUGUCGCGUCUGCUGUGAAAACCCGGGGCUCAACCCCGGGCCUGCAGUCGAUACGGGCAGACUAGAGUGCGGUAGGGGAGACUGGAAUUCCUGGUGUAGCGGUGAAAUGCGCAGAUAUCAGGAGGAACACCGGUGGCGAAGGCGGGUCUCUGGGCCGUAACUGACGCUGAGGAGCGAAAGCAUGGGGAGCGAACAGG